rnacentral:rRNA from 1 species
UACAGAGGGGGCAAGCGUUAUUCGGAAUUAUUGGGCGUAAAGGGCGCGUAGGUGGCCCUUCAAGUGGUAGGUGAAAUCCCUCGGCUCAACCGAGGAGCUGCCCGCCAAACUGAAGAGCUUGAGUCCGGGAGAGGUGAGUGGAAUUCCCAGUGUAGCGGUGAAAUGCGUAGAUAUUGGGAGGAACACCAGUGGCGAAGGCGGCUCACUGGACCGGAACUGACGCUGAGGCGCGAAAGCGUGGGGAGCAAACGGG